rnacentral:rRNA from 3 species
UGGGGAAUAUUGCACAAUGGAGGGAACUCUGAUGCAGCGACGCCGCGUGAACGAAGAAGGCUUUCGAGUCGUAAAGUUCUUUUAUAUGGGAAGAUAAUGACGGUACCAUAAGAAAAAGCCCCGGCUAACUACGUGCCAGCAGCCGCGGUAAUACGUAGGGGGCUAGCGUUGUCCGGAAUCACUGGGCGUAAAGGGUUCGCAGGCGGAAAUGCGAGUCAGGUGUAAAAGGCAGUAGCUUAACUACUGUAAGCAUUUGAAACUGCAUAUCUUGAGAAGAGUAGAGGUAAGUGGAAUUUUUAGUGUAGCGGUGAAAUGCGUAGAUAUUAAAAAGAAUACCGGUGGCGAAGGCGACUUACUGGGCUCAUUCUGACGCUGAGGAACGAAAGCGUGGGUAGCAAACAGG